rnacentral:lncRNA from 1 species
UAUACUGAGAAUUAUUACUCCGAACAAAAAGUCCAACCAGACUUCAGAAAAACUGAAAGUUAAUUACUGAAGUUGGAUUCUCGAUUACCACAGGACAAAAAAAAAAAAAAAAAAAUGGACUCCACUCAGAACAUUGCAACUAUUGCAAGAUGAACUGGACUUCAUAAUCCACUUCUGCUCAGCUACAAAUGCAUUGACUGUGCUCUCUGAUUGUUGUUAAAACUUGACUUCCCAUAGCCCUAAUGACCGGUAGAGACUAAACAACCUUGUUCAUGAAGACAGGAACAAAAAUUUCUUUCUCCUGGGCAG